GGAGGCGUGGCUGAGUGGUUUAAGGCGCCGGUCUCGAAAACCGGUUGGGGAGCAAUCCCCUCAGAGGUUCGACUCCUCUCGCCUCCG
rnacentral:tRNA from 1 species